rnacentral:tRNA from 1 species
GUUUUAAUAAUUUAAGUAAAAAUUUUGAUCUUGUAAAUCAAACUUAAGGAUACCCUUUUAAAACU